CCUACGGGAGGCAGCAGUGGGGGAUAUUGCACAAUGGGGGGAACCCUGAUGCAGCGACGCCGCGUGGGUGAAGGAGUGCUUCGGCAUGUAAAGCCCUAUCGGCAGGGAAGAAGCAAGACGGUACCUGACUAAGAAGCCCCGGCUAACUACGUGCCAGCAGCCGCGGUAAUACGUAGGGGGCGAGCGUUGUCCGGAAUUACUGGGCGUAAAGGGCGCGUAGGUGGGCGCUUAAGUCAGGUGUGAAAACUCCGGGCUCAACCUGGAG
rnacentral:rRNA from 1 species